rnacentral:tRNA from 1 species
GGUUAUGGCUCAGUGGUAGAACACUCGCCUCGCAUGUGCAAGGCCCUGAGUUCAAUCCUCAGCACCA